rnacentral:rRNA from 1 species
GAUGAACGCUGGCGGCGUGCCUAAUACAUGCAAGUCGAGCGAACAGACGAGGAGCUUGCUCCUCUGACGUUAGCGGCGGACGGGUGAGUAACACGUGGAUAACCUACCUAUAAGACUGGGAUAACUUCGGGAAACCGGAGCUAAUACCGGAUAACAUGUUGAACCGCAUGGUUCAACAGUGAAAGACGGUCUUGCUGUCACUUAUAGAUGGAUCCGCGCCGCAUUAGCUAGUUGGUAAGGUAACGGCUUACCAAGGCAACGAUGCGUAGCCGACAUGAGAGGGUGAUCGGCCACACUGGAACUGAGACACGGUCCAGACUCCUACGGGAGGCAGCAGUAGGGAAUCUUCCGCAAUGGGCGAAAGCCUGACGGAGCAACGCCGCGUGAGUGAAGAAGGUCUUCGGAUCGUAAAACUCUGUUAUUAGGGAAGAACAAAUGUGUAAGUAACUAUGCACGUCUUGACGGUACCUAAUCAGAAAGCCACGGCUAACUACGUG